GCCGGGUGUGGUGGUGCAUGCCUGUAAUCCCAGCUACUUGGGAGGCUGAGGCAGGAGAAUCGCUUGAGCUUGGGAGGCAGAGCUUGCAGUGAGCCGAGAUCACGCCACUGCACUCCAGCCUGGGCGACAAAGCGAGACUCUGUCUCAA
rnacentral:SRP_RNA from 1 species